rnacentral:tmRNA from 1 species
GGGGAUGCCCAAUAAUCGAUCGAUCGUUCACAAUCUGUGCAGGCAAGCCGGUCACCCAGGUCUCCCGUAACAGGCCCUGGAAAAAGCAAGUGUCAAUUCAUUUGCCAGCAAGGUAAAGAACUCCAUUGCUAACGCAAUGCAGUCACUCCAACUUGCGCCAGUUGUCGCGUAAAAACCGAUAACCAUCUAUGCUUACGAUGUCCUGAGUUGUUCGCAUGGGUGCUACACUUAUCAGGAUAGGAACCUACCUUGUCUCGGGUUUGUUCCGAACUAUUGAGACUAGGAAAUAAAUGAUUUCGUUCGUUUCAUACAUUUGUUUCUGAAGCAUUAAAGCGAACUAGGCUUGUAGAAUGUACACGAUUGUACGAUGAGACGCGGGCGUGAUACCCGCCAUCUCCACCA